GGAAGUAGGAUUGGUUGGAGAAAGCAGUUUACUGGAGACAUGCCUUUGGCAAGUGUAUUCUGUCUCUGGUUGCUUACUGGCUUUCUGCUUCCCAGCCAGCAGGAGGUAUUUUGGCACAGUGGCAAAAAGACACCUGAUACAGUGAUAUGGAUACAUCGUAGAAAAACACCAUUUGAUGAAACAGAUUCAAGAAGAAGUAUGUAACAUGGAUAAUUGUUGACGAAAAGGAAAUCUGCUCAAGAGAGAUGGUGAAGGCUCCCACACCUGGCCUCCAGCAGUCUGGAAACUUCUCUCUUCCUCGAGAUCAAAUAGAAGCAGAAGAAGGAAAGAUUCGAGACAACAAACUGAAGUUUGCACAGAACCGUUAGACACAAAGUACUCCAAGAUGCUGAAAUAUUUCAGAAUAAUGUCAAACAUGGAUGCCACAUGAUAGAAAAAAAACUAGAGAUCCAUGAUCAAAUGGGAAAGAACCCAAAAGAGACAUAUCACCCGCCCAGGAAAAGACAAAAAAAAAUGCAAAAAUAUGUUUCCGCUGCAUUUGUACUGCAUUCAUACCAUCAUAAUUCCAAAGCAUCCUGAGACUGCCUUAGGAUAAAAGUCUAAAAUAUCAUUCUUAGCUUGUCUAAAAUACAAACCUACUUGUGAA